rnacentral:rRNA from 1 species
AACGAACGCUGGCGGCAUGCCUAACACAUGCAAGUCGAACGAGACCUUCGGGUCUAGUGGCGCACGGGUGCGUAACGCGUGGGAAUCUGCCCUUGGGUUCGGAAUAACAGUUGGAAACGACUGCUAAUACCGGAUGAUGACGUAAGUCCAAAGAUUUAUCGCCCAAGGAUGAGCCCGCGUAGGAUUAGCUAGUUGGUGAGGUAAAGGCUCACCAAGGCGACGAUCCUUAGCUGGUCUGAGAGGAUGAUCAGCCACACUGGGACUGAGACACGGCCCAGACUCCUACGGGAGGCAGCAGUGGGGAAUAUUGGACAAUGGGCGAAAGUCUGAUCCAGCAAUGCCGCGUGAGUGAUGAAGGCCUUAGGGUUGUAAAGCUCUUUUACCCGGGAUGAUAAUGACAGUACCGGGAGAAUAAGCUCCGGCUAACUCCGUG